CGUGUAGGCGGUCUCGUAUGUCUGACGUGAAAGCCCCGGGCUCAACCCGGGAAGUGCGUUGGAAACUGCGAGACUAGAGUCUCGGAGAGGAAGGUGGAAUUCCAGGUGUAGCGGUGAAAUGCGUAGAUAUCUGGAAGAACACCGGUGGCGAAGGCGGCCUUCUGGACGAUGACUGACGCUGAGACGCGAAAGCGUGGGGAGCAAACA
rnacentral:rRNA from 1 species